CGGAUGUGGAUAUUGUAAGUACAUCAACCCCUGCAGUGAAACCUUGACUCUCGUCUCGUGCUUUAUCUUCUGGCCUCAUGACAUUCCAUUGUCUUUUACACACACAACACCGGUCAACAGCCAGUAUUAAUGAAGGGAAAUGAUAGCCCAACGUUCAUCUAUUUUCCGAAGACGAUGUUCAAGAAUACUCUCAUUGAAAUGAAUUUGUUACACUGAAGAGUGUGCUGGUUCUGUAGAACUCAUGUAUAGCAUGGCAUUUGCGGAGUUCUUCCUUGCUACAAUGAAGUGUUUGGAUUUGAUGUGAGUGUAUUUUUUCCAAAAAGUGCUAUUUUUUUUAAUUUGCAGCAGUUUAAUAUGCAUUAUUCACUUUUCUUCAAAAAGCUUAAUACAGCAAAAAGACUAUUUUGAGAGGACCACUGUUGUCCCGGGAAGGAGUCGUUGGAUUCUACAUAGACCACAAGUAUGAGCCUGUAAGUGUGAAUCUAAUAGUACUGGAAGUAAGGUUUACAUAGCAUCUUCACUCUCUCAUACGUAACUUGUUGAUGAAUGUACAGUUUAUCACUGUGUUAAUAAACAAAAAAAACUUUGCAAUUAGUUGUAGGUUUAGAUUUUGUAGUUAAGUCACUCAGACAGGUCUGACAAAUUAAC
rnacentral:lncRNA from 1 species